rnacentral:rRNA from 1 species
AUGUCUUCCUCCGCCGUCCGGCCGUGUUUCCUUUGCCUCCACGCUCCCGCUUCCUCCUCCGGCCUCCUCCUGACCAGCCGUCCGCAUCGCAGCAGCGCCCUGCCGCCGGCACAUGGGCGUAACAACCGGAAGCCCGUCGGCCACGGGAUCGUCUGCAGCCAGGCCGGCGCCGGCGAUGGUCACGCCAUGACGAUCAAAAUCAACCCCAGGGAUCGAGCGGAGAAGGAUUAUAAACAAUAUGCAUGA